GUGAUUUUGUACCAAUACAAACUGAUAUAAUUAAUUUUAAAGGCACAAAAUAGCACAAUUUACACAGAUGUGGGCUAGGUAAAAAACACAGGCUAUUAUACUGUUUAAAAUUAAAUAUUUGUUAUGAUUUUACAACAUAUACGCAGGCCUGAAGCUACGGGGGGUUGUGGGGGGGGGUGACACUCCAGAAAUUGUAUUCGAUCAGUCGGCAGGACUGCUAUUCACUCGGUAGGACUGCUAUUCACUCGGUAGAACUGAUAUUUGGGUUAAAUAUUUUCGCGCAAAGGGCAAGAUAGGAGUCGGAAUUUUAGAAAAUUUUUUUGGAAAAAUGGAGAAAAUUUGUGAUGUCUGCAAAAUUUUGGUAUGUCCGGAAAAAUUUUUGGAUCCCUAAAAUGGUACACUGACCGAAAUUAUUUUGGCGACGGGGGGGGAGGUCGCCAAAAAUAAUUUGUUCCAGAAAAAAAAUUUUCGGCACUAGUCGGUUGAAAUGACCUUACACCCCCCUGAAAAAUUAUCUGAAGACGGGCCUGCAUAUACGAUUCCACUGAUAUAAUUAACUAACUAUUCACAGUGUUUGGUGCCAAAGGUACUAAAUCCCAUCGCUCAAAAACGAAGAAAAACUUAUAAACAGAUUUUUAAUUAAAGGGGAAGUCAAGUCCGUAAUGUAAACAAACGGUUUGUUUACAUUUUGAACUGCUGUAUUUUUUAAAAUAUGAUGUACUGUCUGAAUAUCUAACACCAUUUUGGUUUGCUAUGCUUCUAAAUGAAUAUGAAAUAAAGUUUAUGUUCAGAAAAAUUCGAAAAAAUUUGAAAUUUGGGCAAUUUUCACAUUAGAGGUCCUCACAUUGUUAUGCGCAGAACCGAUGCGCAGAAUGGACUUGACUUCCCCUUUAACAUAAUUGAUAAAUAAUGAUAAUUCACUCAAAAAUGUAAAAAAUAGUGAAACCUUCUUCUGCACCAAUGCACUGGGAUGAAUAUUUAAGUUUUUCAGAAAAAAUCCUUAGAUUUCC